rnacentral:rRNA from 1 species
UAAAGGACGAAGUGACUGACACCACGCUUCCAGGAAAAGCCACUAAGCUUCAGCUAAGAAAAACCGUACCGCAAACCGACACAGGUAGGCAGGGUGAGAAUCCCAAGGCGCUUGAGAGAACUCGGGUGAAGGAACUAGGCAAAAUGGCACCGUAACUUCGGGAGAAGGUGCGCCCUUUGGUGUGGUCACGUGCGUGACUGAGCAUCGAAGGGUCGCAGUAACCUGGCCGCUGCGACUGUUUAUCAAAAACACAGCACUCUGCAAACACGAAAGUGGACGUAUAGGGUGUGACGCCUGCCCGGUGCUGGAAGGUUAAUUGAUGGGGUCAGCCGCAAGGCGAAGCUCUUGAUCGAAGCCCCAGUAAACGGCGGCCGUAACGAUAACGGUCCUAAGGUAGCGAAAUUCCUUGUCGGGUAAGUUCCGACCUGCACGAAUGGCGUAACGACAGCGGCGCUGUCUCCACCCGAGACUCAGUGAAAUUGAAAUCGCUGUGAAGAUGCAGCGUUCCCGCGGCAAGACGGAAAGACCCCGUGAACCUUUACUAUAGCUUUACACUGAACGUUGAGUUCUUCUGUGUAGGAUAGGUGGGAGGCUAUGAAACCAGGACGCUAGUUCUGGUGGAGCCAUCCUUGAAAUACCACCCUGAAGUGCUUGACGUUCUAACCUAGGCCCGUAAUUCGGGUCAGGGACCGUGUAUGGUGGGUAGUUUGACUGGGGCGGUCUCCUCCCAAAGAGUAACGGAGGAGCACGAAGGUACGCUCAGCGCGGUCGGACAUCGCGCACUGUGUGCAAAGGCAUAAGCGUGCUUGACUGCGAGAUCGACGGAUCAAGCAGGUACGAAAGUAGGUCUUAGUGAUCCGGUGGUUCUGUAUGGAAGGGCCAUCGCUCAACGGAUAAAAGGUACUCCGGGAUAACAGGCUGAUACCGCCCAAGAGUUCAUAUCGACGGCGGUGUUUGGCACCUCGAUGUCGGCUCAUCACAUCCUGGGGCUGUAGCCGGUCCCAAGGGUAUGGCUGUUCGCCAUUUAAAGUGGUACGCGAGCUGGGUUCAGAACGUCGUGAGACAGUUCGGUCCCUAUCUGUCGUGGGCGUUGGAGAUUUGAGGGGGGCUGCUCCUAGUACGAGAGGACCGGAGUGGACGUUCCGCUGGUGUUCGGGUUGUCAUGCCCAUGGCAUUGCCCGGUAGCUACGAACGGAAGUGAUAACCGCUGAAAGCAUCUAAGCGGGAAGCACGCCCCAAGAUGAGAUCUCCCGAGGGCUUGACUCUCCUAAAGGCACCAUCAAGACUAGGUGGUUGAUAGGUCAGGUGUGGAAGCGCAGCAAUGCGUUGAGCUAACUGAUACUAAUGAGCCGUGAGGCUUGAUCAA